rnacentral:rRNA from 1 species
GGCGCAGGCGGAGAUGUAAGCCAGACGUGAAAUCCCGAAGCUCAACUUCGGAACUGCAUUUGGAACUGCAUCCCUUGAGGAUAGGCGGAGAGAACGGAAUUCCACGUGUAGCGGUGAAAUGCGUAGAUAUGUGGAAGAACACCCGUGGCGAAGGCGGUUCUCUAGCUUAUUCCUGACGCUCAAGCCCGAAAGCGAGGGGAGCGAACA